GCCGCGCCGGAGGCUGGGUCCUCGUGCAGGAACUGACACUCCUCUCCGUAGAAGCACGUCUUCCAAAUCAAAUCUUAAAAUCUCUUCCACAGCCACCUCCUUGAGAACCUACCCAACACCAUUGACUAGCAACACUUGAGAGAGAGAAGACAGCACAGCAUCUUAAGAAGGAAGGAGAAGCCAUGAACAUCUCUGUCCCUCUGUAUCAUGGUGAUACCAUCUCCUGCAUUCUACUGUGUGCCCUCUCUGACUUGAGCAGAGUCCAGAGAUGGCUUGGCAGACAAGGAAAAGAUGAUCCCAAAUGCACAAGUCUGACUAAUGUCACUGCCCAAAGUCCCAAGUACCUAUGUUUGGAAGGCCAAGGACAAAGGGUAGUUCUCAAGGUACAGGGCUUAGACCAACAGCAUCAACAGGACUUGUGGUAGAAAAUCAAAUCCUACUGUCCCACCCUUGACUAUUCAGUAAGCAGUAGUUUGUUCUCAAACACAGCAAAAUCUGAGAACUGCUGGCCUAGGGAAAGUCAUACCCAUGCCAAUCGGAAGUAACUGAAGAGAAAUGACCAUUAACUUUGUUUCAGAUGAUGUGAAGUACACUAUUAUUCCAACAAUAACAUCCAAGCAUAACAUGAUUUGCAAGCAUUAUUCUUCCUGGUCAGCCCUUCCAUUAUAAAUAUUAAAACGAUAUUUAAGUAAAGGCA